UCACUGACUGCUUCUAGAGGUAAGUGUCAGGCAGUAGGUUAAGAAGAACUGUAUUGAUAAAUUAUAAUCAGAUUUUAAGUGUGUUUCUAAAGCCAAUUCAUUGAAAAUAUAUGAUUGAUUGUUCAUAAAUGCUAAUCUUUAAUUUAAUUUUAAUUCAAAUAAAAUUAAAAAUUGUGUGUUUAGUGCUUCUCAAAGAAAUGUAAUUAAUUAGAAGCAAGACAAGGCCAAAUGUAUGUAUUUAGAAAAAAAGGUGUCAUAUUAAUGAAAUACGUCUAAAAAGCCAGCCAGGGGAAAAAAUACAUAUAUGGAAGAACAUUCUAAGGUUAGCGUUGAAUAUGGGGGGAAUAAAAGACGAACUAUCUAGCAAAUGCCAUACAGAAUCUUCUGCAAUUAUUGUAUCAACAGAUACAUCAGGAUAAUAAAAUGCAAAAAUCAAAUAGCUCUUUUUCAUGAUUUACUCAUCAUUCUAAAUCACUACAGUGAAAGGAAGACUGAAUUUGAUGGGCACAAGUCUCUUUUCAGCUAUGCAACUAUGUAACUAUUUAACUAUGAAGAGGUUAGAGGUAAAAUAGAGAGCUAAAAAGGAAGGUGUAAAACCACAAAGAUGAAUCACUAUAGCCAUGGAGCCCAUAAUUAAGCUUUUAAUGAUAAAAUUAGCCAGGCUCCAUUGACAGUGUCUAAAAACUGGAGAUUUGUGUGUCCAAUUGAAAAUAUGGCAGUGCCACCAGCAGAGUAGAAUAUGUAAUAUUUGGAUAUGUCCAGAAAUUUUGUUUUUAGGUACUUAUCCAUGGCAUCCUUACAGAUUGACUCUGGGACUACCCACAUUAGUGAUAAAAUGGUACAUUAUCAGCCAUUAAUAAGAUAAAUAAGAGAUCUCUCCUUCAAUACAUUUAACAAAUGUGAAGUUUCUGAGAGAUACUUCUUCUUAUGCUAAUAGCGGAAUAUGAGAUGUAGUGGAAGUCCACAAAAUAUGAUUCAACUGUGCAACUCACUUUAUCCAUCACAUUAUAUCAAUUUUGAAUAGUAAAAUGAUUUCAGACUUCAUGCUGAAGAGUUCUCAUAUUCCCUUUGGUGCAGCUAAUAGCAUGGCCUGAGGAGGGCAGCCUUGACUUAAGAACUGGCCUAGAGGCCAUUCAAUAAAGACUAUGGAGCCCCUCUCACGACAGGACUGUUAGCCAGUAGAAGGUCUUAGAUUAAGACCUUCAAAGCACACGAGUCAUUGUGUGUAGUUGUCUUUUUUAACAGUUUUCUUUCAAUUACAUUAGGAAAUUACAGGGGGCAAAAUCAAUGAGGCUGAAAAACAGGAAACAUUACGUGCAAUAUACUCAAAGCUUUAGUAGAACUAUCACAGUCCAUACAUUUUAUAUAUCUACUUUUUUCUAUUGAAAUUCCAUAUCUGAUUCCAUGUUUUAAUGAUAGACAUGAGGAAGGACGUGGAGUAAUAAUAUAUCAUAGAUCGUUGUUCUUCGAAUCUAUCCCAGUUAGGACCUACCAACACACCACGACUUUCUUAUCUUUGGUAUCUUAAACUUCCACUGCACCAAUUAUUGUAUGGUAGCAAUUAAUGUGAACUUUUAGUUUGGAAACAGCUGAUGUGCCAAAGCAAACUUUUGGCUUUGUAUAGCGAGCACUACCAUUAAAAGAAAAAUAUAAAUUGCAAAAUGUUCAUAAAGUCUUUUUAUGGAUAAAUUAGCUUUUUAAAAUAUUUAAAAAAAAAUUAAAGAUACAUACCAGGACAUACUUGAAAACGAGAGAAAUCUCAAUGUAUCCAUCCUGGUAAAAUAUUUUAUAAAUAAAUAAAUAUAUAUACAUGUAACAGCAAAUAAUAUGAAUAGUUAGAAAUGCAAAGUUUAUAUUAAUAGAUACAGUUACAUACGUAGCAUAUAUCAAAAGCUUAUGCUCUCGUGAUAGAUGACAUUCAUUUAUUGACAUAUGCUAACUGGAAUGUUUAAAGGUUGACCAGGUAAUUGAAAUGUAACACUGCGAAGCUUUAUUUUUUUUAUUCUAGUAUAUUUGGUUUAUACUGAAAUAUCUUUCCUUUGGUGAAGAAUUGUGAAGACCAAAAAAGAAAAUUAAACUUGUCUUACCUAUUUUUAUUUACAGAAUAUUCCCUUUUCAAUCUUUUUCCACCUGGGAAGGAUACUAAAGGUAUGUCUUCUUAUUUAUUUCACUGAAAUAUAAUAUACAAACAAGCAAUUAUUUUUAUUGAAAAACAAGCACAUUUAUUAAUUAAUCAGCUCAUUCUUGCAAUUUCUGUGAACGUUUAUUUUCACACUCUAAGUGAAUUGGUAAUUUUGAAUAUCUUCAUAACAACUCUGCAACCACAAAUACAUGCAUAUACUUUAAAGCAAAAAGUGUAUAAUUAUAUUUCAUGCAAGUAAUUUUAAUUAAAUUGCAUUUUUCUUACCUUUUUUUUUAAUAAACAUGAUAUAUGUGUAGUAAACCAUCAACCAUGGGUGACGGUGAGAUGGCUGUAUUUGGGGAGGCAGCCCAAUUCCUCCGAAAAACUGACAAGGAGAGGAUUGAGGCACAGAACAGACCGUUUGAUGCCAAAACAUCAUACUUCGUGAUAGACCCAAAGCAGAUGUAUGUGAAGGGAGAAAUUCAGAGCAGAGAAGGUGGCAAAGUCACUGUGAAAAAAGAAGAUGGCACAGUAAGUUGCAAUAUGUCAUUCGUUAAGCCCGAAAACACUUACAUAGAGAGGUAUUACAACAAUUUUAAUUCAGAUAUUUUAUAAACCUCUUGACUUCCUAAACUACAGAAAUAUAUAUUCUAAUGAGUUGAGAGAGCAAUGUCUUCCAAGUAGAAUUACAUUUGUGUCCAACUUUAAUUAAGUAUUUACUUCUGAUAGUAUAUGUUUUCUUUGACUUAGACUGUCACAGUAAAGGAUGAUGACGUCUUCCCUAUGAACCCACCCAAGUACGAUAAGAUUGAAGACAUGGCCAUGAUGACCCACUUGAACGAACCCUCCGUCCUGUAUAACCUCAAAGAGCGUUACGCAGCCUGGAUGAUCUACGUAAGGACUCUUGUUCUUUUUUAGCACCUACAUUUGACUAAAGCCAUGAAAUAGGAGUGUUGAAAGCUACAUUGUGGAUUGUUAGUGACACUAAGAUAUAACAAAAUAUUAGGGUGGGAAAAAAGCUGGGGUAAAAUGCUAUGAAUAACUGCUAUGCUAUGAACAACCUGCAAAUUAUUUCGGAGGAUCCCAUUCUAUGUAAGUACCAACAGUAAGGAUCUCUAUUUUGUGAUGUUUUUCCCACCUUUGCAAAAGAUCAACCGUAAGUAACCAGAAAAUAUGCACCGUAGAAAGCUGUUCAGGGGAUAUUAUUUCACUUUAUAAUAUAAUAUAUAAUGUAAUCUAUUACAUUUUAAGUGUUUCUAUGGUAUUUUAGGAUCCAAUACAUGUCUAACUUUACUUUGUAUUCUUCUUUAGACCUAUUCCGGCCUGUUCUGUGCUACAGUCAACCCCUACAAGUGGCUGCCUGUGUACAACCCCGAGGUGGUCAAUGCUUACAGAGGCAAAAAGCGUCAGGAGGCCCCACCUCACAUCUUCUCCAUCUCUGAUAAUGCCUAUCAGUUCAUGUUAACUGGUAAGCAGCCAAUUAUUUUAAGAAACAAGAGACAGAAAAAUAGAGUAGAUGUCCUUUUGUUUGUAAUGGUUAUUUUAUCUUAGCCUGUGACACACAGUUUGUUUAAAUUGUAUAACUUUUUCAUGCUGUUUGUUUUGUUUUUUAAUUUCUAGAUCGUGAAAAUCAGUCAAUCCUUAUUACGUAAGUAUACAUUUAUUAUUAUUUAUAUUAGUAAACUAUUCCAUAAAUAUGUACCGCAAUAAAAAUGAGCAUUUCCAAAUCAUUAUUCUAUUUAUAAUUAUUAUUAUUCAUUAUUUAGAAUGGUAACAAAUACAGAAAUUACUUUCUCUUAAUCUCAUGAUCUCCCGUGAUCCCGUGAUCUCAUGAUCUAUUUAUAAUACAUGAAAUCAAACGUCCCAAUUCACAAGCUUUUAUUCUGUGUUUAGCACAAUUGAAGGAUGAUUUCACCUCAGUUACAUAUUUAAAAAGUCAUUCUGGAGCCAAUCACUAAAUCUGGAGCAAUCAGUAGUACCAUCAUUUCCAUGUUGACUGCUCAGUUUGUACAAAACCUGUCUUGGAAUAUCCAAUGUGUUGUGAAGUCAAGGGACAUUUCAGACUAUGGUCUUGAUUUAAUAUUUUGGAAAAUAUUUUCAAAUCAUUGCCAUCUAUAUCACAUAUUUACCUACAAAAAUUCCAAUAUAUUUUAAUGGUGUCUUCAGUAGAUAGGUCAUUUGAAAAGUUUUUCUAGCAGAUUGCGAUCAUUUGGAAAACGUAUCCAGAAAUAUUAAAUCGAGGCCUAUGUUAUAGCAAACCUGAAUACUAAAAACCAUAGCAAAUAUAGUUCCUCACUGGCUAUAUUACCUAAUCAAAUCUUCCUGUGUUCCCCAGUGGAGAAUCUGGUGCUGGAAAGACUGUGAACACGAAACGCGUCAUCCAGUACUUUGCAACAAUUGCAGCUACUGGAGACAAGAAGCAAAAGGAGGCGGAGAAGAGCAAGGUGAAUUAAUAAAAUAUAAUGCAUUCACUGGAAUUAAACAAAGAUCUAUUUAAAUAUUGUUACAAACAAUAAACAUUAUACAUCUUAAAUUGAAGAUUCUAUCCUUGCUCAUAUGAAUAAAGUAAGGAGAUGCACAUGAAUCAGUACAAAUUCAUUUUUUCUAGGGCACUCUGGAGGAUCAAAUCAUCCAGGCUAACCCUCUCCUGGAAGCCUUUGGCAAUGCAAAGACCGUGAGGAAUGACAACUCAUCCCGCUUCGUAAGUCAGCCCUCAAACUACAAUAAGACUGCGCUAGCUCUGUAACAUUGCAAGAAAGAAUAUUAGACAAAGAAUACCCUAAAAGUCAUACAUACAUAAAUAUACACAGAUACAUAUGCAAUUUUUCUUAUAAAUAAUAUAUUUAAAUUGACCACUAUCCAACAGGAAUCUCUCUUAAAAGCACUAGUAUAAACAUCAAAUAAUAUGUUAUACACAAAGAUAUACUUGUAGCUUAUUCCUGGUUAGAUCCAGUGCAAUCAAUAGUCUUUCAAGUAUCUGUUUAAACAGAGUCACAAAUAUGAUUAAUAGAAGAAUCAAUUCUCAAGGGCAUCUCUUUAUAAUUAUGCUUCCAAACCAUUCCAUUUAUUCCAUAUUAAUAUCCACAAUGUAAAAAAACUAAUUUCUUUAUGUGCCCCAGAAACUUAAUGCAGGCCUUGUGUCUCACCUGUACCUUCUCAAAACAAAUUGUUCCUGCCUGUCCCAGAAAUUCCAUACACCCCUUGGAUCUCACCUGCCACCUCCCUUCCAGAUUAUAAUCUUGUGCGUCUGAAAUAAAUACUUAAAAUCCAGGGCGAAAACUACUUUGUUACAUAUUCCUCUUCUGACAAAUACUUUCAUAAUCAUAAUAAUUUAAAUUAUGAACUUCAUUUAUUAAUGUUUACAAUUUUAGGGUAAAUUCAUCAGAAUCCACUUUGGGACUACUGGCAAGCUGUCAUCUGCUGAUAUUGAAACAUGUAAGCUGGAAAAUGUAAUAUAUAACUUCAUAAAGUGAAAGACUGUAAGUCAAGUCAUUAAUAUUGUAUACUUGCUUUUUCAGACCUUCUGGAAAAAUCCAGAGUCACAUUCCAGUUGUCAGCAGAGAGAAGCUACCACAUCUUUUACCAGGUUAUGUCCAACAAGAAGCCUGAGUUGAUCGGUAAGUUGGUAUGAGAUACAACUGUCAGAAAACUUGAAAAAUGUUUAAAAAUAGAAAAGGCAAUGUUCAAAUAAUAAUCUGAAGUUGGGAACUUUUUUGUAUGCAGUAAUAAGUGCAUUUCUAAUAUUUUACAGACCAGCUGCUGAUUACAACCAACCCAUAUGACUUCCCACUUGUCAGCCAAGGUGAAAUCACAGUGGCCAGCAUUAAUGACCAAGAGGAACUGAUGGCCACUGAUGUACGUUCCUUCAACAUCAUGUAUGUUCUGAUGUCAUGUUUCCAUUCUGCACCAUAAUAAAUAUUUCCCCAACUCCAUGUUUUCACAGGAAGCCAUUGACAUCCUGGGUUUCAAUGCUGAUGAGAAAAUAGGAAUCUACAAACUGACGGGAGCGGUUAUGCACCAUGGCAACAUGAAAUUCAAGCAGAAACAAAGAGAGGAACAGGCUGAGCCAGAUGGCACAGAAGGUAAAAAUAGGACAUUACCCUUUGGUUACCCAUGGACAAAGUGAAUAAAAUAACACAGUAAAAAAAAAAAACACUUCUCCCCAAAGUGGUUUCAUUUUAAAACUUUCUUACCUUACCUUAACUUAUGUCACAAUUAAAGAAAAAUAGAAUUGUGUUGCUUUCAGGUCAAAAAAUUUAACUUGUGAAAUCUAAGCAUCACACUAAGAUAGAGCUAGUGGCCUCAGUGUGGCAUCAAAAGCAGGAAAUUUCAAAGCAUUUUUUUCCAACUAUAUUUCAGUGGCUGACAAAAUUGCCUAUCUGAUGGGUCUCAAUUCAUCCGAUUUACUGAAGGCCUUGUGCUACCCAAGAGUCAAAGUUGGGAAUGAAUAUGUGACCAAAGGUCAAACUGUGAAACAGGUAAUUUCAGUGCAAUAUCUGCCAAACAUGAGUGAAAAAGUCAUCAUUGCUUGAAAUGAUUUCAAAUUUUUUAUUUGUUGAAAGGUUCACAACUCAGUUGGUGCCCUGAGUAAGUCAGUCUAUGAGAAGAUGUUCUUGUGGAUGGUCCUUCGUAUUAACCAGCAGUUGGACACCAAACAGCCAAGACAGCACUUCAUUGGUGUCUUGGACAUUGCCGGCUUUGAAAUCUUUGAUGUAAGAAUGACAUAAUGUGUCUGUGGCAAAUCAUUCAUGAGAUAUGUAAAAUGUGACACUUAUAUGUACGAUUCUUAUUUUUUCUUAAUCAGUUCAACAGUUUGGAGCAGCUGUGUAUCAACUUCACCAAUGAGAAACUGCAACAAUUCUUCAAUCACCACAUGUUCGUCUUAGAACAAGAGGAAUACAAGAAGGAAGGUAUCGAAUGGGAGUUCAUUGACUUCGGCAUGGACUUGGCGGCUUGCAUUGAGCUUAUUGAGAAGGUAAAGAAUAAUGUUCGCUAGAAGUUAUCUUUCAAAACACAGCAUCUCUCAUUAUGAGUACAACACUUGUAGCACAAGAAAAAACCUUCAGAUGAUAUUGAAGUUAAAAAUAAUUACAAUUUAAAACCAAAACAAUAUUAUAUAUUCAAUUUAUUUAAACAUAUUCCCAUAGAGAAAUGGAUAAAUUAAUAUUUCUGUUAAAGUAUUGCUCCAUUAAUUGACUGUUUUCAUGGUAUAAUCAAUAGCCAAUGGGCAUCUUCUCCAUCCUUGAAGAGGAGUGCAUGUUCCCCAAGGCAACAGACACUUCAUUCACCAAUAAACUGUAUGAUCAGCAUCUUGGCAAGUCCAACAACUUCCAGAAACCAAAGCCUGGUAAAGGCAAAGCCGAGGCUCACUUCUCCCUUGUCCACUAUGCUGGGACAGUGGAUUACAACAUCAGUGGCUGGCUGGACAAGAACAAGGAUCCACUGAAUGAAACGGUCAUUGGGCUGUACCAGAAGUCUUCUGUGAAACUGCUCUCAUUCCUGUACUCCUCUUAUGCUGCAGACCAAGGUAAGUAAGCUUGAUAAAAACACAAUAUGGUAUAUUUCCAUGUCAGCAUGUCUAUAGCAUUGUUUCUCUAUAUUAUUGUAGUAACAUGGUGAUAUAAUAAUGGCCAUAGAUUAUCAUACUACAUUUUUUUAAAAAUUCUACUUCAGAAACUGGUGGCAAGAAGGGUGGUAAGAAGAAGGGGUCUUCUUUCCAGACUGUGUCUGCUCUUUUCAGGGUAAGUGCAAUAUUAAAGUCUUCCCUACCAAUUCCUUUUUUGUGUUUUUGUAUGUAUAUAUGUCAUUAUGUAAUAUAUCCAAUCUACAGGAGAAUCUGAACAAACUGAUGUCCAACUUGAGAAGCACUCACCCCCACUUUGUACGUUGUUUGAUCCCCAAUGAGACAAAGACUCCAGGUGGGUAAAAAGAAACAAAAAAAUAAAUUAAAAAAACCCUUAUGCGGCUUGGCUCUGCCAUAACUGGAGUCAAUGAGUAUUGACUGAGCACUGUCUGAUUGUUAAUGGAAAUUUUCCUUUUAAGGUGUGAUGGACCACUACCUGGUCAUGCAUCAGCUCAGGUGUAACGGUGUCCUGGAGGGAAUCAGAAUUUGCAGAAAAGGUUUCCCAAGCAGAAUCCUAUAUGGUGACUUCAAACAGCGGUAUGAAUCAUUCACAAAUAAUUAAAUAAAAUAAACAUUCUAUAAUAGUGUACAGUUGACUUGGAUGAGAAAAGUAGUAUCUGAUUUUGUAUCUAUUAUAUAUUUAUAUAUAUAAAUUUCUCUAUUGUAUGACAGUUACAAGAUCCUCAAUGCCAGUGCUAUCCCAGAUGGUCAGUUUAUUGACAGCAAGAAGGCUUCAGAGAAACUUCUUGGAUCCAUCGAUGUUGACCAUACUCAGUACAGAUUUGGGCACACCAAGGUAAAUGGUGUAACUGAAUAAUUAUUUUAACAAGCUAGAUUUACAGCAUAAAGUCACUACUACAUGUACUAAUUUUGAUAGCACAUUUGUCAUAGAAUCAGGGCUAUAGAAAGAUUUUGAAAAUUAAUGAAAAUCUGUUAGCGUUAUAUAAUCUUUUUACAAUUAAAAUUAUUUGCGAUACAUAGUUUGUCAGAAAAAAGCAGAUGAAACACUAUUGGGUUACAUUAAAUAUCAUGUCAUUGUAAAAUCUUAUAGGUGUUCUUCAAAGCUGGUCUCUUGGGUACCCUUGAAGAGAUGCGAGAUGAAAAAUUGGCUGAGCUGAUCACUCGUACUCAGGCUAUUUGCAGAGGAUACCUCAUGAGAGUAGAGUUUAAGAAGAUGAAUGAGAGGAGGUACUUUACUUAUAUGUUAUAAUAAAAAAUAUAUCAUCUACAUAAUAAAUGUUUGAUCUGUAUGCUAAAUCAAAUCCAUGUAUUUUUCUAGGGAAUCAGUCUAUUGUAUUCAGUACAAUGUCCGCUCAUUCAUGAACGUCAAACAUUGGCCAUGGAUGAAGCUGUACUUCAAGAUCAAGCCUCUUCUGAAGAGUGCAGAAUCUGAGAAGGAAAUGGCAAACAUGAAAGAAGAGUUUGAGAAGACAAAGGAAGCUCUUCAGAAGUCAGAAGCCAGGAGAAAGGAACUAGAGGAAAAAAUGGUCAGCAUACUCCAGGAAAAGAAUGACCUACAACUCCAAGUUGCAUCUGUAAGUUACUUAAAUACAGGAUCUAUAAAAUCACACUUUAGCUAAAAUGUCUUUAUUUAAAAUGUGCAAUAUUGAAUAUCAAUAAUCACAGAGACAUACUUAUGUAAUUUAAAAUAUAUAUAUAUAUAUAUAUAUUAAUAAAUUAGCAAUAUAUGCAUAUUUACUUGGUCUUCCUGAUGCAUUUCCACAGGAAUCAGAAGCUGUGUCAGAUGCAGAAGAAAGAUGUGAGGGACUGAUCAAAGCCAAGAUUCAACUGGAAGCAAAGGUCAAGGAAAUUAAUGAAAGGCUGGAAGAUGAAGAAGAAUCUAAUGCAGAGCUAACAGCCAAAAAGAGGAAACUGGAGGAUGAAUGUUCCGAGCUGAAGAAAGAUAUUGAUGACCUUGAGCUAACAUUGGCCAAGGUUGAGAAGGAGAAACAUGCCACAGAAAACAAAGUAAUAUAUUUUCAUUAUUAUCUACAAUAAGCUUUAAAUAUUAUAGUAGAUAAACAAUGUGAAAAAUAAACAAAAUACAAAGUGGAAUAAUGCUUAGGAAACAUUAGUAUAUGAUUUUGUUUUCAUAUACUUUGAUUCUAGUCAUACAAAUGACACAUAACACGUCUGACACACAUAUAUUAAUCCAAACGUCUAAAUCUAGGUGAAAAACCUUACAGAAGAAUUGGCUGUUCUUGAUGAGAACGUUGCCAAGUUGACUAAGGAGAAGAAAGCCCUUCAAGAAGCCCACCAGCAAACUCUGGAUGACUUGCAAGCUGAAGAAGACAAAGUCAACUCUCUUACCAAAGCCAAAACCAAACUGGAACAACAAGUAGAUGAUGUACGUACAUAUGGUGCUAUAUUCUGACUUUUGUGACGGUGAUGAUAAAGAUUGUGUUGCACGAGUGACAGUUACACAUUUUUUGUCUUGACUUUGAAAUUAUGAAAACAGACUCGUGUUGAGUGUUUAAUACUAUAUCUAAUGUUCCAUUAGCUUGAGGGUUCACUGGAGCAAGAGAAGAAGCUUCGCUUGGAUUUGGAGAGAGCCAAGAGAAAGCUGGAGGGUGAUCUCAAGUUAUCCCAGGAAUCUACAAUGGAUCUGGAAAAUGAGAAGCAGCAGCUGGAUGAAAAAGUUAAAAAGUAAAAUAGAGUUAGCACUGUAACCCUAUCUUACUAACUCCAACAUCUCUGCGUAAUUCAUUUUCCUGUCUCCUUUUCUCUUCCCUAUUACUCUUUUAUACUAAAAAAUUGUGCUACUGAAUUUGAGUGUAUUUAUUCAUGUCUAGAUAAUCAACCUGAUAUUCAUGUUUCUUGCAUUCAUUCAUCCAAUGCCUGGAUUUUUUUGGACAUCUGCAUGUUGGAAUACAUGCUUAGCCGUCUGUGAAUUAUUUCCAAUAAAAUCCAAUAUAAUUUGAGAACCCAUCUUAGUUAAUAACUGAUGCUAUCGUCUAACGAGAUUUUUACAGAUAUCAAGAAUAAACAUUAUUCCUAGAUGUAUGCUUCUUGUUCAACAGGAAGGAAUUUGAAAUCAGCCAACUGCAAAGCAAGAUUGAAGAUGAACAAGCUCUGGGUACUCAGCUGCAGAAGAAAAUCAAAGAGUUACAGGUAACCUUCAAAUCAAUACACAACAAUUGAUAUUUGAAGCUCAAGGCCGAGUUUAUGACUAUACUAUUUUCUCAACACUACAGGCCCGUAUUGAAGAGCUGGAAGAGGAAAUUGAAGCAGAACGAGCAGCUAGAGCCAGAGCUGAGAAACAACGUGCCGACUUAUCCAGAGAGCUUGAAGAGAUCAGUGAGCGUCUGGAAGAAGCUGGUGGAGCAACCUCAGCUCAGAUUGAAUUGAACAAGAAGCGCGAAGCAGAAUUCCAGAAGAUAAGACGCGACCUAGAAGAGGCCACUCUACAGCAUGAGGCCACAGCCUCCGCACUCCGUAAAAAGCAUGCCGAUAGUGUUGCAGAACUUGGAGAACAAAUUGAUAACCUUCAACGUGUUAAACAGAAACUGGAAAAGGAAAAGAGUGAGCUGAAGAUGGAGAUAGAUGACCUGGCCAGUAACUUGGAAUCUGUCUCCAAAUCUAAGGUAUGGACUAAGCAUAUGCAAAAGAAAAACAAGAAAAAAAGCAAACAAACAUAGAUUAUUUUCUUGCAUCAUUAACUGGCUGGUGAUAUUUUCUGACUUUUUUGGUCAGUAUCUUGCAGCAGUUAUCAAAGUAAUUACAAUCCAAAUUUUGACAGUAACGCUGUUAAAGUCAGAAAACGUUAUUGACCGAAAAAAAAGGCCUACAUUGUUAUUUCUAAUGUCUCAAUGUUGAGCUUGAUAGGUUGAAAGUGCAAGGCUAACAACAAAAACAGGAUUAAAGAUAGAGACAAGCAAUUGCUUUGAUAGUGGCUAACAAGUGGCGGGCACCCAAUUUUACAUAUUAUGUUAAAUAUGGACAUUGCAGAGUGCUUGUGUUUCUUAAAGGUAUCUGACAGAAUUUAAGAGUUUAAUGUAACAUAUGAGGCCCAUUUUCAUCAAUAAUGGCAAAAGUAGUAAAGGUGGUAUCAAAGUAUUGAAAUGGUGAUGUUGCAGUAACAUUGUCUUUGCUAAUGGAGCAUCGGCUGAAGUGUAUGUAAAUAGUGAAUAUGCACUUGUAAUUUCCCUAAUAGCUUUAUGGUUUAAAAAUAUGUGAGUUAUAUACUUAUCAAUAGGCAAAUCUGGAGAAGCUAAGCAGGACAAUAGAGGACCAAUACAGUGAAGUGAAGACUAAAGAAGAUGAGCACCUUCGUGUCAUUAAUGACAUCAAUGGUCAGAAAGCGCGUCUUCAAACAGAAAACGGUAACUAGUCCAUGCAUUAAAUAUUGCUAUAAGUAUGUACUAGAAAAGGUAAAAGAUAUCAUUUAAUAUCAAAUUAAUUGUAUUUAUUAGGGGAAUACUCUCGUCAGUUGGAGGAAAAAGAAUCUUUAAUUUCUCAGCUAUCCAGAGGCAAACAGGCUUUUACCCAACAAACAGAAGAACUGAAAAGACAGUUAGAGGAGGAGAUAAAGGUAUUUUUGUCCAAUAAAAAUAAGUUAAAAAAAUGCCAACUGUGUCUUGCUUAUAAGUUCUGAAUUGCUUUGCUAGAGGAACACAAGCGUUUUCCUAACGUUAUAGUGACCUACUAGUUAUUUAGAUUACUGCCCCCCAAUGUGAAGUAAAAAUUUUGUUUCACUUACCUUUUCUCCAUUCAUGAUGAUCUGAGCCAAUCCAAUGCUUCCUCACAGGACCACACUGGGAAGCUUGUGCGCAUGCAUGGCAAAUUGCCGCUCUAGGAGCAGCAUUUGAUUGAGAACUGACAGCCACUAGAGAUGUGCUUAAUCCUGCAUUUCUCCAAAACUGUAAUGUUGAACUAAAGGGCCACUGCCGCCAGACCACUUAAUUGAAAUGGUCCAGAGUAGUCCAAAAAAAAAAAAAAAAUAUUAAAAUUGUCAUGACCUAAUUUUGAUAAAUAUAGAUUCAUAAUUUUUUUCCUUGUUUAACAUUAAUAUAAUGCCAUGUCACCUUUAAGGCCAAAAACGCCCUCGCUCAUGCCUUGCAAUCUGCCCGACAUGACUGUGACCUUCUCAGGGAGCAAUAUGAAGAGGAACAAGAAGCCAAGGCUGAGUUGCAAAGAUCUCUGUCCAAAGCCAAUGGAGAGGUUGCCCAAUGGAGGACAAAAUACGAGACUGAUGCUAUUCAACGCACAGAGGAACUGGAAGAAGCCAAGUAUGUGUACUUUAGUUAGUACUAUUCCUUCUGAAAAGGAAAGAUUGAAUUAACAUAAACAUUCAAUUCUGGAUCUAUCCAUGCACCUGUUUAAAUAUAUCAGUUCACAGAAUUAUUUUUCUAUUCAGGAAUGGUGAUGUAUAAUUAAACUAAUUUAUAAAUAAUAGUAUUUGCUUAAAUGAAUUGUAUCUAUUUUUUUUUUUUUUUACAAUGAGGAAUCUCAAAUAUUACUUUUUUUUUGUUAACAGCUGGCAAUGUAAUGGCACGUUCUCUUUGUUAGCUGGUUUGUGGUUCUCCCAUGACUACAAAAACAUUUACAACAUACAGUAUUUGUCAAAUAUUACAAUUGGUUCACUGCAGAUUUGUAGAAUUGUACUUUCAACUGUGUGUUUUUUUAUUUUACAAAUCAUCAAAUGUUUUUUUUUUCCCCCCUUAAAAACAAAUCUUUAAACAAAUCUUUAGUUUAAAAAGACACUCAUACAAUCUGAUAUUAAUAUAACAGGAAGAAACUCGCUCAGCGUCUCCAGGAUGCGGAAGAACAAGUUGAGGCUGUCAACUCAAAGUGUGCAUCUCUGGAAAAGACCAAGCAGAGGCUCCAAGGAGAGGUGGAAGAUCUCAUGGCUGACGUGGAGCGUUCCAACUCUGCCUCUGCAGCUCUUGACAAGAAGCAGAGGAACUUUGACAAGGUUUAUUCCCUAUAAUAUACAUCUAAUGGAAUAUUGUCAAUUUACUUAAGACAAUUUAGAAAUGCAGCCUUUUUUACACUACAAAUAUUUUCAACAUAUCAAUUAAACAACAAACAAGAUGAAUGAAUAAUGAAUAAGAAGCCAACACUAAGCCAUUGUAUGUUUUCUUUCUUUGAGGGAACAAAUGACUCUCAACUUCACAUAUGUGUGUGAGAGACUUUUACAUAAAAAAAUGCUUUGUUUUAUUACAUAGGUUCUGUCUGAAUGGAAGCAGAAAUAUGAAGAAACUCAGGCAGAGCUAGAAGCCUCUCAGAAGGAGGCCAGGUCUCUGAGCACAGAGAUCUUCAAGAUUAAGAACUCCUAUGAGGAAUCUUUAGAUCAGCUUGAGACUCUCAAGAGAGAAAACAAGAACCUUCAACGUUAGUAUGAUGUGGAUGUUAAACUUGUUUAAAUCAAAAUUAUUUUUCUUUCAAAAUGUGGGUUGUUAGAUGGCAAAAAGACCAGGGACUUUAUCCCAAGCAUAAAUUGUAUAGCCCCUCCAUCAUCUAUUGAUUUAAGCCCCUCCUAAAACAAAUUAUAUAAGUGGAGGUGUUUCUCUCUCUGUGUUACAGGGACUCAGGGAUAAUAAGUAAACAAGCCCAAUAUUAAACUUGGGGAUUUCCAAAACUUCACACUGGGCUCCAGCCCCUGUCAUCUCCUGCAACCUUCACUUCACCUCCACCCCCACCCCAGUAACACCCCUGUCAUUCAAUCUUGAAAUUGUUAACUUUCAAUGCACCAGUUCUUAACUUGCCAUUCAUUGUGUUUUUCCAGAGGAGAUCUCUGAUCUGACAGAACAAAUUGCAGAGACUGGAAAGAGUAUUCAUGAAAUAGAAAAAUCCAAAAAACAGGUGGAGCAAGAGAAAUUUGACUUGCAGUCAGCCCUGGAAGAGGCAGAGGUAAGUAUUGUUUUAGCAAUAUUAAAAACAUGUUUAUAUGCUAUUUUUGCAUUACUCUAAAUGUACAUAUACAUAUUUCCCUAGGGCACUCUGGAGCACGAAGAGGCAAAGGUAAUUCGUAUACAACUUGAGCUGACUCAGAUAAAGUCUGAGGUGGACCGAAAAGUUGCUGAGAAAGAUGAAGAGAUUGAACAGCUGAAGAGGAACAGCCAGAGAGCACUGGAUACAUUGCAAAGUUCCCUGGAUUCUGAGAUCAGAAGCAGGAAUGAUGCUCUCCGAAUCAAGAAGAAGAUGGAAGGAGAUCUUAAUGAGAUGGAGAUUCAGCUCAGCCAUGCCAACCGCCAGGCUGCAGAAGCACAGAAACAACUCAGGAAUGUACAAGCACAAGUUAAGGUAAAUUACUGUAAAAAGCAAAAUGCUUAAUUUUGCAUACAUAUGUGUUUGAAGAUGACAUUGCUUUCUAUGUAUGUAGGAUGCCCAACUGCAUCUCGAUGAUGCAAUUAGAGGAAAUGAAGAUUUGAAGGAACAGUUGGCUAUUGUUGAAAGACGCAACAACCUCAUGACUGCUGAACUUGAAGAAAUUAGAUCUUCACUGGAACAGACUGAGCGUGCACGCAAAUUGGCAGAACAAGAACUUCUUGAUGUCACAGAGCGUGUUCAGCUGCUCCACUCUCAGGUAAGAACGUUCUAAGAGUCAUUGAUCACAGCUUUUAAAUAUAAACAUAUCUGUAAACUGGGGCCUCACUUGUGCUCCUUCUCCAACAAACAGAAUACCAGCCUCAUCAACACCAAGAAGAAGCUUGAAGCUGAUGUCUUCCAACUACAGAGUGAAGUUGAAGAACAACUACAAGAAUCUAGGAAUGCAGAUGAAAAGGCUAAGAAGGCCAUCACAGAUGUAUGUCUAGUUACUAAGAAGGCCAUCACAGAUGUAUGUCUAGUUACCAAUGCCUACUAUGCAUUAUGAGAGACGCUUAAUCCAAUAACUAAAAUAUGUUUUGGUGAUUCUACCAGGCUGCCCUGAUGGCUGAGGAAUUAAAGAAGGAACAAGACACUAGUUCUCACCUCGAGAGGAUGAAGAAGAAUCUGGAACAGACAGUGAAGGAUCUCCAGCAUCGUCUGGAUGAGGCCGAACAACUGGCAUUGAAAGGAGGAAAGAAACAACUCCAGAAAUUAGAAUCCAGGGUGAGUCAUUGUAUCAUGAACUUUCUGGUCAGUGUAAACAAGGAAACAUUUUUAACCCAUCAUGGACAUAACUUCAGAAAUAAAAGCCCUGCAUGAUGGAACAUUUUUGGUAUGUGUCAUUAAGUGGUUAAACGCAACACUGAUGUCAAGUAACAUUUUUAUAUAAAUAUAAUUUGAUAUAUAUAAGACAUGAACUGGAGUCUAGCAAUUGGUCUAUUUAUUAGAGCAGGCAUGUCAUCGUUUUUUUUCUAAAGGAGUUUCUGUGGCAAGUGAUAACCAAUAGGAGAGCCACAAUUGCCACAAAGCCAUGUGGCAAUUGUUUAGCAAAUUUAUUCUAACAGAAAGGAUACAACUUAGCCAACAUGGGAAAGCUGUUUAUUAUGAUUUUGAAAACACACAGGUGGUCCUUAGGAAGGCACUGUCAAAAGACCCCUGUUCAAACCCCUUGGUGAUAUUCUCCCCAUAUUCUCACUUAUGACCUCUGCCCAUAUUCUCCUCGUGUCCCCCUCCCUCCCCAUACUCCUCAAAACAUUUAUUAAUACUGCAUUGUUUGUCAUUUUCUUUUUAGUUAUAUGACUAAGUUGCAUGGGAGUAAGUUCCCAAGCAGACUGGCAUAUAGAAAUUAAUCAGAUGGUUGUACAGUAGUCGUCGGGAUGGAGAUAUAUGACACUUGUUGGGUGACAAUGAAAACACAGUGGUCUGUAAGCUCUGCAAUGAGGUGUGUAAAGGAAUGGUAGCAAAAUUAUAAAGGUUUGCCUAAAGAUUUGCCUUCAUCUCUAGUCAAUUUUUUUUAAAUGGAGGAAUUAUUUUGUGCAAUCUUGUAAAAGAGAAAGUAGUGCCAUGACUUAAUUUGAAGAGGAUGUAUAGCUAUUGCUAAAUAUUACAACUCAAUUGGUCACUAGCAUUAUAUAUGCAGAACAUCUGCUGGUGGAACUAAAUAAACAUUAUAAAAAGUAUGUAACUAGACCAUAUGAGCUAUUUUCUAUCCAUUUGUUAGGUGCGUGAGCUGGAAAAUGAGCUGGAUGCCGAACAGAAGAGAGGCAGCGAUGCCAUUAAGGGUGUACGCAAGUACGAAAGGAGAGUGAAGGAGCUGACAUACCAGGUGGGCUCAGUUUAAUUAUUUUUGAUUUUGCUUCGUUCAAUCCAGUGACCUAUUAGACAAAUAUAUUUAACUAUGCAUAUAGUGAGCCCAAAUGUUCAUUUGUUUUAACAAAUCACAGACUGAAGAGGACAAGAAGAACGUCCUCAGGUUACAGGACUUGGUAGACAAACUGCAGCUGAAGGUGAAAGCUUACAAGAGACAAGCCGAGGAGACUGUAAGUAGUAAAUAUUUGGCCAAUUCUGGUUUUAACUACUAAGAUGAAACAGGCAUACUAACAACCCUUUUCUUCUGGUUAAGGAGGAACAGGCAAAUAUACAUCUUUCCAGAUUCAGGAAGACCCAACAUGAACUAGAAGAGGCUGAGGAACGAGCUGAUAUUGCUGAAUCUCAGGUCAACAAGCUCAGAGCCAAGAGCCGCGAUAUCGGCAAGGUAUAUAUGUUUUUGAUGCUUUGCCCUGAUUUUUAUUAUUGAUUAUAAUGCCACAUAUAACGCCCCUUAGCUUAGUCAUUACACAUUUACCAACAAGCAAAACUAACCUUAUAAUCAGAUAGAUUAAGAGUAGAUUAUUAUUGGUAAAUAUACACAAUGGACAGGAACAGGUCAAGUGAUGGGUCCACUGGGGAGGUAGCAAUGAGGUAAAGGAGUCAGAAAUUAGAUCAGAUGAGCUGGUUUAAUAGGGAAUGUGAAGAAUAAGGUCAGUCACUUGGUGCCAGAAAAGUUAUUGAACUAUGGAGGGUGAAGGAAGGUGAUAAUGACCAGCUAGGUUGUAAUGGAAGUAGUCAUUAUGGGUGCGGGUGAAAUCUGGUGCCUUUUCAGUAACUCUACAUAACCGAAUUCACAAUGUUAUUUAGUUUAACUGGACUAUAAACAGACCUCUAUAUAUUAUAUAGGAUAGGUGGGUAGGUGUUUUGAUAUUAUUCAUGUUAUCCUUUAACGCAGUAUAUACAUGAUUCUCUUUCACAGAAAGCGGAGGAAUAAAGAGAAGAUGUGGUUUACAGAAGCUCAUACAAUAUGGACUCCAUUGUAACUAAAAUAAUUUGUAUUAAAUUAGUUCAUGUAGAAUACAAAUAAACCCUGUGUUUAUACUGAC